rnacentral:rRNA from 1 species
UACGUAGGGUGCGAGCGUUAAUCGGAAUUACUGGGCGUAAAGCGUGCGCAUGCGGUCUGUUAAGACCGAUGUGAAAUCCCCGGGCUUAACCUGGGAACUGCAUUGGUGACUGGCAGGCUUUGAGUGUGGCAGAGGGAGGUAGAAUUCCACGUGUAGCAGUGAAAUGCGUAGAGAUGUGGAGGAAUACCGAUGGCGAAGGCAGCCUCCUGGGCCAACACUGACGCUCAGGCACGAAAGCGUGGGGAGCAAACAGG